GCAGAAAACAGUCAAACACAACGAGCAAGAGAGAUUUAUUCGGCUAUAAGUGAAUGUAGCAAAUUAAGAAUCGAACUCUUGCUUCCAAAAUUAAUUGCCCUGAUGCAGCAUGUCUGAGCAUGAAGCAUCCAAAAGGACAGUGUCUUGUUGAAACGAAUUAAGUGCAUGAUGAUGGUGGAGAAAAGCACAGAGCAACUACGUGGAAGGGCAUCGACUGAUCGACUGCAUGCAUCAGCAUUGUGCAUGCAGAUAUAUGCUGAGCUAGCUCUUUUGUGCAUAAGUUCGUUUGUGAUAUAAAGAGGAGGAUCGUUUUGAGAAUCAGCAGCUAGCUCGAUCAUGAGCCCUGCGUGCUUGAUGGAACUCACGUUAUGUCAUGCAAAACCAUGCAAAUUAUCGGUGAUUGGAUCGGAUGGGAGAGGCACCAACAUUGCAUUGCAGUGAAAACAAAAUGAAGACGGUCUCGUAUAUUCUGGAAGUAACUAAAUCAUAGGAAUAUUUAUCCUAUUACAACAGUUUGUUUUUAUAUAGGAGAGCCGUCAGGUACACAGUGAG